AGCGUACACGGUGGAUGCCCUGGCAGUCAGAGGCGAUGAAGGACGUGCUAAUCUGCGAUAAGCGUCGGUAAGGUGAUAUGAACCGUUAUAACCGGCGAUUUCCGAAUGGGGAAACCCAGUGUGUUUCGACACACUAUCAUUAACUGAAUCCAUAGGUUAAUGAGGCGAACCGGGGGAACUGAAACAUCUAAGUACCCCGAGGAAAAGAAAUCAACCGAGAUUCCCCCAGUAGCGGCGAGCGAACGGGGAGCAGCCCAGAGCCUGAAUCAGUGUGUGUGUUAGUGGAAGCGUCUGGAAAGGCGCGCGAUACAGGGUGACAGCCCCGUACACAAAAAUGCACAUAUUGUGAGCUCGAUGAGUAGGGCGGGACACGUGGUAUCCUGUCUGAAUAUGGGGGGACCAUCCUCCAAGGCUAAAUACUCCUGACUGACCGAUAGUGAACCAGUACCGUGAGGGAAAGGCGAAAAGAACCCCGGCGAGGGGAGUGAAAAAGAACCUGAAACCGUGUACGUACAAGCAGUGGGAGCCUCUUUUAUGGGGUGACUGCGUACCUUUUGUAUAAUGGGUCAGCGACUUAUAUUCUGUAGCAAGGUUAACCGAAUAGGGGAGCCGAAGGGAAACCGAGUCUUAACUGGGCGUUAAGUUGCAGGGUAUAGACCCGAAACCCGGUGAUCUAGCCAUGGGCAGGUUGAAGGUUGGGUAACACUAACUGGAGGACCGAACCGACUAAUGUUGAAAAAUUAGCGGAUGACUUGUGGCUGGGGGUGAAAGGCCAAUCAAACCGGGAGAUAGCUGGUUCUCCCCGAAAGCUAUUUAGGUAGCGCCUCGUGAAUUCAUCUCCGGGGGUAGAGCACUGUUUCGGCAAGGGGGUCAUCCCGACUUACCAACCCGAUGCAAACUGCGAAUACCGGAGAAUGUUAUCACGGGAGACACACGGCGGGUGCUAACGUCCGUCGUGAAGAGGGAAACAACCCAGACCGCCAGCUAAGGUCCCAAAGUCAUGGUUAAGUGGGAAACGAUGUGGGAAGGCCCAGACAGCCAGGAUGUUGGCUUAGAAGCAGCCAUCAUUUAAAGAAAGCGUAAUAGCUCACUGGUCGAGUCGGCCUGCGCGGAAGAUGUAACGGGGCUAAACCAUGCACCGAAGCUGCGGCAGCGACGCUUAUGCGUUGUUGGGUAGGGGAGCGUUCUGUAAGCCUGUGAAGGUGUGCUGUGAGGCAUGCUGGAGGUAUCAGAAGUGCGAAUGCUGACAUAAGUAACGAUAAAGCGGGUGAAAAGCCCGCUCGCCGGAAGACCAAGGGUUCCUGUCCAACGUUAAUCGGGGCAGGGUGAGUCGACCCCUAAGGCGAGGCCGAAAGGCGUAGUCGAUGGGAAACAGGUUAAUAUUCCUGUACUUGGUGUUACUGCGAAGGGGGGACGGAGAAGGCUAUGUUGGCCGGGCGACGGUUGUCCCGGUUUAAGCGUGUAGGCUGGUUUUCCAGGCAAAUCCGGAAAAUCAAGGCUGAGGCGUGAUGACGAGGCACUACGGUGCUGAAGCAACAAAUGCCCUGCUUCCAGGAAAAGCCUCUAAGCAUCAGGUAACAUCAAAUCGUACCCCAAACCGACACAGGUGGUCAGGUAGAGAAUACCAAGGCGCUUGAGAGAACUCGGGUGAAGGAACUAGGCAAAAUGGUGCCGUAACUUCGGGAGAAGGCACGCUGAUAUGUAGGUGAAGUCCCUCGCGGAUGGAGCUGAAAUCAGUCGAAGAUACCAGCUGGCUGCAACUGUUUAUUAAAAACACAGCACUGUGCAAACACGAAAGUGGACGUAUACGGUGUGACGCCUGCCCGGUGCCGGAAGGUUAAUUGAUGGGGUUAGCGGUAACGCGAAGCUCUUGAUCGAAGCCCCGGUAAACGGCGGCCGUAACUAUAACGGUCCUAAGGUAGCGAAAUUCCUUGUCGGGUAAGUUCCGACCUGCACGAAUGGCGUAAUGAUGGCCAGG
rnacentral:rRNA from 1 species